CAGCAGCCGCGGGAAUACGGAGGGGGCUAGCGUUGUUCGGAAUUACUGGGCGUAAAGCGUACGUAGGCGGUUUUGUAAGUUAGAGGUGAAAGCCCGGAGCUCAACUCCGGAAUUGCCUUUAAGACUGCAUCACUUGAAUCGUGGAGAGGUGAGUGGAAUUCCGAGUGUAGAGGUGAAAUUCGUAGAUAUUCGGAAGAACACCAGUGGCGAAGGCGGCUCACUGGACACGUAUUGACGCUGAGGUACGAAAGCGUGGGGAGCAAACAGGAUUAGAUACCCGAGUAGUCCCUGUCUCUUAUAC
rnacentral:rRNA from 1 species